GUACAAGGCUAAAUAGGGCCCUGGGAUGAGGCACCUGUGACAGGGAGGGGUGCAAAACCAAGGAGUUGGCUAGACUCCCAAAUAUAUACAUAUGAAACAAGGGGGGAGUCUAGCCAACUCCUUGGUUUUGCACCCCUCCCUGUCACAGGUGCCUCAUCCCAGGGCCCUAUUUAGCCUUGUACU